GGGGAAUUUUCCGCAAUGGGCGCAAGCCUGACGGAGCAACGCCGCGUGCAGGAGGACGCUUUUCGGAGUGUAAACUGCUUUUCUGUGGGACGAGAAUGGACGGUACCACAGGAAGAAGCCCCGGCUAACUACGUGCCAGCAGCCGCGGUAAUACGUAGGGGGCGAGCGUUGUCCGGAGUUACUGGGCGUAAAGGGCAUGCAGGCGGUCGGACGCGUUUUGUGUGACAGCGGGUGGCUUAACUACCCGAGUAUACAAAAGACGGUUUGACUUGAGGACUCGAGAGGGACACGGAAUUCCGGGUGGAGUGGUGAAAUGCGUAGAGAUCCGGAGGAACACCGAAGGCGAAGGCAGUGUCCUGGCGAGUAGCUGACGCUGAGGUGCGAAAGCUAGGGGAGCGAAAGGGAUUAGAUACCCCUGUAGUC
rnacentral:rRNA from 1 species